rnacentral:tRNA from 1 species
GGGGUUGUGGCUCAGUGGUAGAACACUCGCCUAGCAUGCGUGAGGCACUGAAUUCAAUCCUCAGCACCACA